AUGCUGAGUACCUCUCACAUACACUAGUCAGAGCAUCCCGACAGCGAUUACUCCCUCUUAAUUCUUCCAUUUUUCUUCCAUCCAUCAUUUAUGACAACAUUGUCAAACGUGGUCCGAUGCGAUACAUUCACAUAAGAAAGACACAAGUGGCACUGCAGCUGCACAGUCACCACCUUAGUGGUGAUACUUGGCUUACUAACGUUAGCUAAUUGCCCUUGCUGCUGCUAUUGUUUGUUGUUGCAGGCGCUCAUCAAACAAAUCACAGAUGUUGUAGAGGAAGCUUUCGAGGGAGCGGAUCCUCGUUCACGGAGACUGCCAUUGUUGC
ensembl:lncRNA